AUUUUCCCCAUGCACAUUGAGCUCCAACAUCAUCAUCAUCAACUGAAACUCAUUGACCCUAUAGGAGCCCAUGCCUGUGUGGCAUCAUUGGAUCUUAUCAUUCCUGAUCGAGAUACUCCAUCGAACAGUCCCACUGUGACGUCAACAAUAUCCAGCCGUUUUACCUGACGGGACAUGGUCGCAAUCUAGGGCUAUAGGAACGAUUAUAUAUGCCUUUACUUAAU